AAGUAACGCGGUGGAACGGAACCGUCGCCUACAAAGGGAAGGGGGAAAACAGUUAGGAAACGACUGUUAAUACCGCAUACGCCACGGCUCGGCAUCGAGCAGAGGGAAAAGGAGUGAUCCGCUUUGAGAUGGCCUCGCGUCCGAUUAGCUAGUUGGUGAGGUAAUGGCCCACCAAGGCGACGAUCGGUAGCCGGACUGAGAGGUUGAACGGCCACAUUGGGACUGAGACACGGCCCAG
rnacentral:rRNA from 1 species